AAUUUUUAAUUAUAUUGCACUUGGAAUAUGGAAGAUUGAGAACAUAUGGUUUUUUUACCCCCUUUCCAGAUAUCACUGAAAUCUGGUAGAGGAAUGUCAAUCCAAAAGAAAUCAAGGAAAUCAAGGAGAAAACAGCAGACAAAAUUGUCCAACACCUUUUUUUUCAAGAUGAAAAACAGCUGGGAGAGGUAGCUGAGUAAUUAUAUCAGAAGUAGAAGGGAACAAAAAGAGGGAAACCCGAAGUAUGUUUCCUACGGUCACUCAAACUCCAUGAAGUAACUAUAAUCAUGCUUAUUUUACAAAUGAAGAAAUUGAGGUCUAAA
ensembl:lncRNA